CCCUUCUCCUUUGUUCCUGUUUUAUGUUUGGUCCAGCUGAAGCUCUGGAUCGACGAGAAGAUGCUGACAGCCCAGGACGUGUCCUAUGACGAGGCCCGCAACCUGCAUACCAAGUGGCAGAAGCACCAGGCAUUCAUGGCCGAGCUGGCUGCCAACAAAGACUGGCUGGACAAGGUGGACAAGGAAGGGCGAGAGCUCACCCUUGAGAAGCCAGAGCUGAAAGCCCUGGUGUUGGAGAAGCUGAGAGACCUGCACAGGCGCUGGGACGAGCUGGAGACCACCACCCAAGCCAAGGCCCGCAGCCUCUUUGAUGCCAACCGAGCUGAGCUGUUUGCCCAGAGCUGCUGUGCCCUGGAGAGCUGGCUGGAGAGCCUGCAGGCCCAGCUGCACUCGGAUGACUACGGCAAGGACCUCACCAGCGUCAACAUCCUGCUCAAGAAGCAGCAGAUGCUGGAAUGGGAGAUGGCUGUGAGAGA
rnacentral:sRNA from 1 species